GAGAAGAGAAUAAGAAACAGUUGAUGAAGAUUUGUGUGUAGCAAAUGAAGAAGUGUGAGAAAAUCCCCAGAACUGUGAGAAGCUACUGGAAUAAUAUAAGGAUGGAUCUAAUCUGGUUGAAUUCUGACUGCCACAUUACUGGGGAUUGAACUCAAGGCCUCCUGUAUGCUAGCUAGUCUCUACUUCUCAAGUACACCCCCAGCCCUCAUUACAUUCUUAAAAAUGUUCAUAGCAUCUUGCAAGAGGAGUCUUUUUACCACUUGGGACCUCAGUCAAGAAAUGUACUUAUUAUGUGUGAGUCUAAUGAUACCCAUCUUUCACCAUAAUUCUUCCACUUCAGGCCAUGUAUUAA